AUACGUAGGUGACAAGCGUUAUCCGGAUUUACUGGGCGUAAAGGGCGUGUAGGCGGUCUUGCAAGUCAGAAGUGAAAUUCCUGAGCUCAACUCGGGCGCUGCUUCUGAAACUGCAGGACUUGAGUGCUGGAGGGGAUAGCGGAAUUCCUAGUGGAGCGGUUAAAUGCGCAGAUAUUAGGAAGAACACCGGUGGCGAAGGCGGCUAUCUGGACAGUAACUGACGCUGAGGCGCGAAAGCGUGGGGAGCAAACAGGAUUAGAUACCCUGGUAGUCCACACCGUAAACGAUGGAUACUAGGUGUGCGGGGACUGACCCCCUGCGUGCCGCAGUUAACACAAUAAGUAUCCCACCUGGGGAGUACGAUCGCAAGAUUGAAACUCAAAUGAAUUGACGGGG
rnacentral:rRNA from 1 species